rnacentral:rRNA from 1 species
AUUGAACGCUGGCGGCAUGCUUUACACAUGCAAGUCGAACGGCAGCGCGGGGGCAACCCUGGCGGCGAGUGGCGAACGGGUGAGUAAUGCAUCGGUACGUAUCCUGUAAUGGGGGAUAACGUAGCGAAAGUUACGCUAAUACCGCAUACGCUCGAGAGAGGAAAGUGGGGAUCGCAAAGACCUCACGUUAUAGGAGCGGCCGAUGUCCGAUUAGCUAGUUGGUGGGUAAAGGCCUACCAAGGCGACGAUCGGUAGCUGGUCUGAGAGGAUGAUCAGCCACACUGGGACUGAGACACGGCCCAGACUCCUACGGGAGGCAGCAGUGGGGAAUUUUGGACAAUGGGCGAAAGCCUGAUCCAGCCAUGCCGCGUGCGGGAAGAAGGCU